rnacentral:rRNA from 1 species
CCCUUAGAUGUUCUGGGCCGCACGCGCGCUACACUGGUGUGUUCAACAAGUGUUUCUCCUGCCUUCGAAAGGGCGUGGGUAAUCUUUUAAACGCACACCGUGCUUGGGAUCGAUUUUUGCAAUUUUAAAUCGUCAACGAGGAAUCCCUUGUAUUUGCAAGUCAUCAACUUGCAGAGAAUACCGUCCCUGCUCUUUGUACACACCGCCCGUCGCACCUACCGAUUGAAUGGUCCGGUGAAGCCUCCGGAUUGCGCGGCUUCGGCUGUCGCGAGAAGUUGGCUAAACCUUACCAUUUAGAGGAUGGUGAAGUCGUANCA